rnacentral:rRNA from 1 species
UACGAAGGGGGCUAGCGUUGCUCGGAAUCACUGGGCGUAAAGGGUGCGUAGGCGGGUCUUUAAGUCAGGGGUGAAAUCCUGGGAGCUCAACUCCAGAACUGCCUUUGAUACUGAGGAUCUUGAGUUCGGGAGAGGUGAGUGGAACUGCGAGUGUAGAGGUGAAAUUCGUAGAUAUUCGCAAGAACACCAGUGGCGAAGGCGGCUCACUGGCCCGAUACUGACGCUGAGGCACGAAAGCGUGGGGAGCAAACAGG